rnacentral:rRNA from 1 species
AGUGAACGCUGGCGGUAGGCCUAACACAUGCAAGUCGAACGGCAGCACAGGAGAGCUUGCUCUCUAGGUGGCGAGUGGCGGACGGGUGAGGAAUACAUCGGAAUCUGCCCAGUCGUGGGGGAUAACGUAGGGAAAUUUACGCUAAUACCGCAUACGACCUUCGGGUGAGAGAGGGGGAUCGCAAGACCUCUCGCGAUUGGAUGAGCCGAUGUCGGAUUAGCUAGUUAGCGGGGUAAUGGCCCACCAAGGCGACGAUCCGUAGCUGGUCUGAGAGGAUGAUCAGCCACACUGGAACUGAGACACGGUCCAGACUCCUACGGGAGGCAGCAGUGGGGAAUAUUGGACAAUGGGCGCAAGCCUGAUCCAGCCAUACCGCGUGGGUGAAGAAGGCCUUCGGGUUGUAAAGCCCUUUUGUUGGGAAAGAAAUCUUUCAGGCUAAUACCCUGGGAGGAUGACGGUACCCAAAGAAUAAGCACCGGCUAACUUCGUG